CCUACGGGUCGCUGCAGUGAGGAAUAUUGGUCAAUGGCCGAGAGGCUGAACCAGCCAAGUCGCGUGAGGGAAGAAUGUCCUAAGGAUUGUAAACCUCUUUUGUCGGGGAGCAAAAAGGCUCUGCGGAGUCGUAUUGAGAGUACCCGAAGAAAAAGCAUCGGCUAAUUCCGUGCCAGCAGCCGCGGUAAUACGGAGGAUCCGAGCGUUAUCCGGAUUUAUUGGGUUUAAAGGGAGCGUAGAUGGGUUGUUAAGUCAGUUGUGAAAGUUUGCGGCUCAACCGUAAAAUUGCAAUUGAUACUGGCAGCCUUGAGUACAGUUGAGGUAGGCGGAAUUCGUGGUGUAGCGGUGAAAUGCUUAGAUAUCACGAAGAACUCCGAUUGCGAAGGCAGCCUACUAAACUGCCACUGACAUUGAUGCUCGAAAGUGUGGGUAUCAAACAGGAUUAGAUACCCCUGUAGUC
rnacentral:rRNA from 1 species